GCAGUCUGCAACUCGACUGCAUGAAGCUGGAAUCGCUAGUAAUCGCGAAUCAGCAUGUCGCGGUGAAUACGUUCCCGGGUCUUGUACACACCGCCCGUCACACCAUGGGAGUCGGAAAUGCCCGAAGCCAGUGACCCAACCUUUAAGGAGGGAGCUGUCGAAGGCAGGUCUGGUAACUGGGGUGAAGUCGUAACAAGGUACC
rnacentral:rRNA from 1 species